UACGUAGGAUGCAAGCGUUGUCCGGAUUUACUGGGCGUAAAGCGUGCGCAGGCGGUUAUUUAAGCCAGACGUGAAAGCCCCGGGCUUAACCUGGGAAUGGCGUUUGGGACUGGAUAGCUGGAGUACGGCAGAGGGAGGUGGAAUUCCACGUGUAGCAGUGAAAUGCGUAGAGAUGUGGAGGAACACCGAUGGCGAAGGCAGCCUCCUGGGCCAGUACUGACGCUCAUGCACGAAAGCGUGGGAGCGAAACAAGG
rnacentral:rRNA from 1 species